rnacentral:rRNA from 1 species
AAUGAGCGCUGGCGGCGUGGUUAAGACAUGCAAGUCGAACGGUUUUCAUUGAAGGGCAACCGGAUAUGAAAGCAGUGGCGAACGGGUGCGUAACACGUGAACAAUCUACCUCCAAGUGGGGAAUAGCUCGGCGAAAGCCGGAUUAAUACCGCAUGUGGUGGUCUCUCGCAUGAGAGACUGACUAAAGACAGGGACCGCAAGGCCUGUCGCUAGGAGAGGAGUCGCGGCCUAUCAGCUAGUUGGCGAGGUAACGGCUCACCAAGGCUAAGACGGGUAGCUGGUCUGAGAGGAUGAUCAGCCACACUGGAACUGAGACACGGUCCAGAC